rnacentral:misc_RNA from 1 species
AAAGUCGUAACAAGGUCUCCGUAGGUGAACCUGCGGAGGGAUCAUUAACAAAGACACGCGCUGCAUUGCGCGCUCCAUUGCGUUGCGGCGACGACCCUGCGAUGUCUCCUCUCCCGAGGGGGCGGGGCACGCGGGGGAUUCGCAGCAAUUUGCACACGCACUUUCUACGACGACAAUCACAAGCUCGUUACGAACACAGAACAACUUUUAACCAUGGAUCUCUUGGCUCUU